rnacentral:rRNA from 1 species
UGGGGAAUAUUGCACAAUGGAGGGAACUCUGAUGCAGCGACGCCGCGUGAGUGAUGAAGGAAUUCGUUUCGUAAAACUCUGUUCUAUGGGAAGAAAAGGACUGUACCAUAGGAGAAAGCUCCGGCUAAUUACGUGCCAGCAGCCGCGGUAAUACGUAUGGAGCGAGCGUUGUCCGGAAUUAUUGGGCGUAAAGGGUGCGCAGGCGGCUUUACAAGUUGGAUGUGAAAUAUUGUGGCUCAACCACAAACGUGCAUCCAAAACUGCAAAGCUUGAGUGAAGGAGAGGUAGGUGGAAUUCCUGGUGUAGCGGUGGAAUGCGUAGAUAUCAGGAAGAAUACCGGUGGCGAAGGCGACUUACUGGACUUAAACUGACGCUCAGGCACGAAAGCGUGGGGAGCAAACAGG